GACGAACGCUGGCGGCGUGCUUAACACAUGCAAGUCGAACGAAAAUACCAAGCUUGCUUGGUUGAUUAGUGGCGAACGGGUGAGUAACACGUGAGUAACCUGCCCCUUACUUUCCUGGAUAACUGCUCGAAAGGGUAGCUAAUACGGGAUAUUCUGACCAGCCUGCAUGGGUUGGUUUGGAAAGGUUGUUUUUCUGGUAAGGGAUGGGCUCGCGGCCUAUCAGCUUGUUGGUGGGGUGAUGGCCUACCAAGGCUUUGACGGGUAGCCGGCCUGAGAGGGUGGACGGUCACACUGGGACUGAGAUACGGCCCAGACUCCUACGGGAGGCAGCAGUGGGGAAUAGUGCACAAUGGGCGCAAGCCUGAUGCAGCGACGCCGCGUGAGGGAUGAAGGCCUUCGGGCUGUAAACCUCUUUCGUCAGGGAACAAGGCACUGCUUUUUUGGUGGUGUUGAGGGUACCUGGAUAAGAAGCGCCGGCUAACUACGUG
rnacentral:rRNA from 1 species